rnacentral:rRNA from 1 species
UACGGGGGGAGCAAGCGUUGUUCGGAUUUACUGGGCGUAAAGGGCGCGUAGGCGGUCAGCACAAGUCAGUUGUGAAAUCUCCGAGCUUAACUCGGAAAGGUCAACUGAAACUGUGCGACUAGAGUGCAGAAGGGGCAACUGGAAUUCUUGGUGUAGCGGUGAAAUGCGUAGAUAUCAAGAGGAACACCUGCGGCGAAGGCGGGUUGCUGGGCUGACACUGACGCUGAAGCGCGAAAGCCAGGGGAGCGAACGGG